UACGGAGGGUGCAAGCGUUAAUCGGAAUUACUGGGCGUAAAGCGCGCGUAGGCGGCUUGUUAAGUCGAAUGUGAAAUCCCCGGGCUCAACCUGGGAACUGCAUCCGAUACUGGCUGGCUAGAGUGUGGUAGAGGGAAGUGGAAUUCCAGGUGUAGCGGUGAAAUGCGUAGAUAUCUGGAGGAACACCCGUGGCGAAGGCGGCUCCCUGGUCCGAUACUGACGCUGAGGCGCGAAAGGUA
rnacentral:rRNA from 1 species